ensembl:snRNA U6 U6 spliceosomal RNA
GUGUUCACUUUGGCAGCACAUGCACAAAAAUUGGAACAAUACAGAGAAGAUUGGUAAGGUGUCUGCGCAAGGAUGACAUACAAAUUUGUGAGGUGUUCCACAUAAAA